rnacentral:lncRNA from 1 species
CUGGCUGCUAUUAAGCAUUCAAUCAAAAAGGGAUCACAAGCCAGAUAGAACUAAUUCGGAGGAACUUUUUUACACAACAAGCCCCUUUCAGUUUGCUUGUUUGGUUUUAUAUCUGAGGCUAACUCGGGCAGGUUUGAGAAUGAGCAGAGCUCUUGGCUGCGGGGGACACGCCACGUUUCCAGCAGACAGAGAGCCCAGCAGGAAACACUGCCAGCUCCUCCACAGCCACCUCCUGAUGCCCAUCCUAAGGAGGCUGCUGUUUAAUUACGGGGAGGUGGGGAAGAGCCUGGCCAGCCUGCAGGACCCUGCGCUGCCUGGGCUGGGAUGUCCCUGCAGUGGGGACGCGCGGCAGUGCCACCAGCAGCCAGUGCUCCCCGUGCGGGGACAGCAGCACCCCCAGCCCCAGAGAGGCGGGCACGAGGCCUGGACAAUGCCAAGAAACGGGACUCAGCCAUGUGCCCAGGGGCCUGCAGAGGCACUGAUAAAUGAUAAUAACAAAAAAUACCUGUACCUGCCCCUCGCCUUUGCUCAGAUCAGGCCCUCUGGAAGACAAGAGCCCUGCUGGAGCGAGGCUGGGCCAUACAAAGGGCAGCGUUGUGUGGGGCUGGCGGGAGCCGGCGCGGCGCUGUUUGCACAGCAGCCACCCCGAAAUCGGAUUUCACUGCAGCAGCACCGACUCUUCCUCGGGUUUCUGCAGAUCUGGGCUCGCAUCUAU